rnacentral:rRNA from 1 species
AUACGUAGGGUGCGAGCGUUAAUCGGAAUUACUGGGCGUAAAGCGUGCGCAGGCGGUUAUGUAAGACAGAUGUGAAAUCCCCGGGCUCAACCUGGGAACUGCAUUUGUGACUGCAUAGCUAGAGUACGCCAGAGGGGGAUGGAAUUCCGCGUGUAGCAGUGAAAUGCGUAGAUAUGCGGAGGAACACCGAUGGCGAAGGCAAUCCCCUGGGCCUGUACUGACGCUCAUGCACGAAAGCGUGGGGAGCAAACAGGAUUAGAUACCCUAGUAGUCC